rnacentral:rRNA from 1 species
UACGUAGGCAGCAAGCGUUGUUCGGAGUUACUGGGCGUAAAGGGUGUGUAGGCGGUUUUUUAAGUUUGGUGUGAAAUCUCCCGGCUCAACUGGGAGGGUGCGCCGAAUACUGAAAGACUAGAGUGCGGGAGAGGAAAGUGGAAUUCCUGGUGUAGCGGUGAAAUGCGUAGAUAUCGAGGAGGAACACCGGUGGUGUAGACGGCUUUCUGGACCGUAACUGACGCUGAGACACGAAAGCGUGGGUAGCAAACAGG